ACACUAGUGGUUUAGCAUUAGAAUUCUUGUCUUCCACGUGGGAGGCCUGGGUUCAAUUCCCAGCCAGCGCA
rnacentral:tRNA from 1 species